GGCGGGACCCCGACACCUGCGGGGAGAGGGGGCGGCUCCCCAACCCUCCCGGGGGUCCCUGGAGCUGAAACCCCCCCGACACCCCCAUCCCUGGACCCGCGCAUCUGUUUUCCAUCAGAGCGCAUCAAGGUUCAGAAGGAAAGCUGAAAUCCAGCGGGGACUCAGCCCACUUUGGAGUGUGGUUCCACUGAAUGGAAUCUGGGAACAUCCACAGCUGGGAGGGACCCACAGGAUCAUGGAUCCAGCCCCUGUCCCGGCACAGGCACCCCAAAAUCCCACCCUGAGCAUCCCUGGGAGCGAUCUCUAAAUUCUCCAGGAGCUCUGGGGCUGUGCCCAUUCCCUGGGAGCCUGGGCAGUGCCAGCACCCCAUGGGGAAGAGCCUUGCCCUGACACCCACCCUAAACAUGCCCGGACACAGCUCCAGGCAUGCCCUCAGCCCUGUCCCUGUCACAGGGAGCUGUCGCUGCUGCACGGAGUGCCCUGUCCCGUGUCACACCAGGCCCACACGGCAGAGUUCAGUUCAGUUUUAUUUUCCACUGUAACGGAUUUCGAAUGAUACAUCAUGCAGUCUGCCAGUGUAUCCAUCCAUCUCCGACAGAACUUCAGCACGAAGAUAAAAGACUUCUCUCCACGGGCUGGGGGGAGGAGGAGGGUUCAGGUCUGCUAUCAAGAGUUUAAUACAGUUCAGCAUCAUUUGAUGCAAUGGCAAAAAAAAAAAAUAAAAAAAUUUCCCCUUGUUACCAGCAAAACGUGUCCACCAUUUAUUUAUCUUUUUUUUUUGUUUUGUUUUUCUCUUCUUUUUUUUUUUCUCCUAAAUUGAACACUACUGUAAAGAUACAUAGAGCCCAGAGAAUACACAUCUGCAGUACACGUUACACACUUUACAGACUAGACAGGGCUAACUCUACGCAGUGCCUCAGCCCGGGGGCCUCCAUCCCGCACAGCGGAUGGACGGCUCCUGCAGGCACACAGAGGACAAAACCAAAGCAAGGGGAGAUCCAGAUUAUCCUGCCCACUCCUUUCCCUCUGUGUCCCCCCGUGGAGGAGUACUUCAGGCAUGGUUAUGUGAGGUAUUUCUCCUCCAGCGAGGGGAAUCUGGUGAGCCCUUUUCUUUCGGACCUGCGUCGCUGUUGUUUAAACAGUUCUUCCAAUAAAACCAUGCUCAAAUUAGAAAUCUUGAUUUCGUUUAUUUUCCAGCCUUAGGGCAGGGUUAGACAGGAUAUUGGGAAGGAAUCCUGUGAGGGGGGGCAGGCCCUGGCACAGGGUGCCCAGAGCAGCUGUGGCUGCCCCUGGAUCCCUGGAAGGGUCCAAGGCCAGGCUGGGCAGGGCUUGGAGCAGCCUGGGACAGUGGAAGGUGUCCCUGCCAUCAGCUGUUCUAUAAAAUCCCUUCCAACCAAACUGUUCCAUGAUUCUAUAAUUUAUAAAGAUUUCAGACAAAUGUGCAUCUUAGUCCGUUAGGCUUUAUAAAGUGAAACUGAAAAGCUACUCAAGGCUCUGUGGGCGCGAAUUGUUGUAGCAAAAUUUUUUUGGUGACUUAUUUUUAAGUUUUCAGCAUCUUCAGGAUAAUCCAGCUCUCACCCUUGUUGAGUUUAAUACAAAACUUAAAAAUGCAUCAGCCAAGGUCUUUCCAAGCUUAAAACUUUCCUUGCUUUCCAGAAAACAAGUCGAUGAAACGUAAACUCAAGGACAAACACAGGAUAUUUGAACAUAUCAAUAAGAGAAGCUCAAGUGAGCCAGAAAUACUUUUCAAUUACUAGCAAAAAGAACAAUAUGCACUUUAGUUCCAUCUGAAAUCCGUUUUCCAUUUGGGAAUGGUAUUUCCAUCCCAGUUUGUCCCAUGCAUGACAUUUUUGGAUGUGAAAUUUCAUUUGCGCUGUACAAACCACAACUUUAAAAAUGAGCCUGGAAUAAAUAGAACACAACACUCAAAGAGCAAAGAAAGGAAGAUGGGG